CAGGGCUACUUCUAGUCUUGUAAUUGGAAUGAGUACAACUUACAUCUCUUCACGAGGAUCAAUUGGAGGGCAAGUCUGGUGCCAGCAGCCGCGGUAAUUCCAGCUCCAAAAGCGUAUAUUAAAGUUGUUGCAGUUAAAACGCUCGUAGUCGGGUUUCGGGUCGGGCCGAGCGGUCUGCCGAUGGGUAUGCACUGUUUGGCGCGGCCUUCUUUCCGGAGACCGCGGCUACUCUUAACUGAGCGGGCGUGGGAGACGGAUCGUUUACUUUGAAAAAAUCAGAGUGUUUCAAGCAGGCAGCUCGCUCUUGCAUGGUACAGCAUGGGAUGAUUGAAUAGGACUCCGGUGCUAUUUUGUUGGUUUCGAACACCAGGAGUAAUGAUUAACAGGGACAGUCAGGGGCACUCGUAUUCCGUCGAGAGAGGUGAAAUUCUCAGACCAAUGGAAGACGAACCACUGCGAAAGCAUUUGCCAGGGAUGUUUUCACUGAUCAAGAACGAAAGUUAGGGGAUCGAAGACGAUCAGAUACCGUCGUAGUCUUAACCAUAAACCAUGCCGACUAGGGAUUGGAGGGUGUUCGUUUCGACCUCUUCAGCACCUUACGGGAAACUAAAGUCUUUGGGUUCCGGGGGGAGUAUGGUCGCAAGGCUGAAACUUAAAGGAAUUGACGGAAGGGCACCACCAGGAGUGGAGCCUGCGGCUUAAUUUGACUCAACACGGGGAAACUUACCAGGUCCAGACAUUGUUAGGAUUGACAGAUUGAGAGCUCUUUCUUGAUUCGAUGGGUGGUGGUGCAUGGC
rnacentral:rRNA from 1 species